UAGAAUAAAAAAAAUUUGGAAAGGAAGGAAGGAAAAAAGUUAAACUGAUAACUAAACAGUAAGCAAAUACAAAACCAUGAAAUUUCAGAAUUUUAAAGAGGAGAAGAGCUGUAGUGAUCAUCUGUGUCUGUUCCAUCUUUCAAUAAGGGAGGAAAGUAAGACCUAGGAAUUUUAAAAGACUUGUCUAGAAAGAAGAUAAGUGAUGGGCAAGGUUAGCCGAAGUAGAAUGUACCUGACCCAGAGUGCUUUCUAUGACAUCACGCUGCCAACAAAUAGAAGACUAUUGUCAAUGGACCACUAAAUUACCUUCUCUGGUAACCUUUCAAAUGUGCAGACAUUCCAUCCUGAUGCUCUCCAUCACAAGGUAUGCUAGUGUAGUCCCAGAGCUGAGCUCAAAUGUUCUAGUCUUUCUCCUUCUUGAAAAGGGAAUUCAUAUGCCCCCUAUGAAUUUGGGUCAAGCCAGGUGCCUUGCUUUGGCAAGUGUAAUGCAGGAGAAAGUGGUAUGCCAGAAACCACGUUGGAGCUUCUCUUCCCUCCAUAAGAGCACCUCUCUGUAUUUCAGACAAUGGAGACUCUGAUGCAAUGAUGGUAACCAGAACUUACCCUUUUCUGGAGAUUCCUGAGGAAACACAGAGGCAUAUGUUUCUGGGCUCACCUAACAAAUUAGUCACAUCACAGCCACCACCAUCAAACUAAAUUCACUGUGAGAGAGUUACUUCAGAGGACGGGUACCAUGGUGGGGUGUGUGUACGUGUGAAAUUUUGUUUGCUUCUUUGUUCAAGAUUACCUAUUACAGGAAUCUCUCAUUUAUGAUGGACCCUAUUUUAUGAAAACUUACUAUUUAAUAAAUAAGUUGACUCGGGGAGUUAUUUACUUUGUAAAAUUCUUUGAUUUUUUACACCAACCUGUCAUGGAGCUCUGUAGAUACUCUACACCCAAUACUUUUUCACCCCUAUCUUUAAACAUGAGAUUGUAGACUAUAACUCUGGCCAAAGUAUAGAAUCAAACUAUGAUGUAAAUCUUAAUAAACUAACAUACUCAUAUUCUGGCUAUGUUAUAAUUGGAAUUUCUUCAACUUCCUUUUUUAUUUAAAUACUUUGAGAAACAUGGACAAGAUUAAUCAGUAUUAACUAUACUAACUACUUGUAUUCAGGUUAAAUCUUUCAAACAAUAAUUUGUCAAAUAAAUAUUCCAAGACAUUUGCUGAGUACAAAGUUUACAAGAAAAAGUAAAACAUAGUCUCUGGUCUUGAAAAAGUUACCAUUUAUUGAGAAAAUCCAAGAGCCAAUAAUUAUAAGACAACAUGCUAAUACAAAUGAAGAUACCGAAACCAAUACUAUGGGGAUUUAAGGCUGUCACCAAUCUUCACAAGGGUGGGGCUGGGACUUCAGAGUCCUGAGGACAUUUGAUCUGAGUCUUGAAGAGAUCUUUCAUUCACUCAACGUGUAUUCAUUAAGUGUCAAUUAUGUUCAGAUGCUAAGUGAAUGGAAUUGAAUUUUGUAAAAAGGGAGAGGGAAGGUCAAAGCGGGAAGAUUGUAUCCAAUCUGCAGCUGACAAAUUGACAGUAAAAGAGACGGGAGUUAAUAUUUGCCACACAUGUAUUGUCUGCCAGGUAUUUGAUCCUCCCAGCAAGUCAGUUUUAAACACUUAUAUUCCCACAUUACAGAUGAGAAACCCGAGUUUCAGAGAGGUUACUCUGCUAGUGUAGGUUCAUAGAGCUAGUAUGAAGCUGAGCUAGAGUGUAAAUGGAGUUGGCCUCCUUCCAGCACCAUGGCCUUCCCAUCCUCAUGGCGGCUGCCUUCUUGUACAGACUUAGGCACAAUAAAAUAAGAUGAAGAGAAAGUGCAAAAUGGACUAGAGUCAAUGUGAUUUUGGUAACUGAGAUAUUUUGUGCUUCAGCUGGAGACGGAAACCUUGGUAGCAGUAGGACACCAUGAAAAAAAUACUGACUUUAGAAUCAGGAUCAAUUGGGUUCAUAUCCUGACCCUACACUGACUAGCUCUGUUGUCCUUGAUUUUGAGCCUAACCAGACAUGGAAUGAGAUAAUAUUCAUUGCAACAACAUGUAGUGAAGUCCAGGGUUUAUUGUAAGUAAAUAUAAUACAUAAUAGUUGUUUAGCUAAUAUUAUUUCAACUUUCCACUCAGCUCACCCCAGGAAAAGCUAUUUCUUAAUGUUUCGAAGCAGAGAAUUUCCUUAGAAGAAAGAAUUGAUCUGAAGCAAAGAAAAAGGAGUUCUUCAUAUUUAUUUAAGCAAUGAAUGAUUAGUACCUACAUAUAUCAUUGACCAAAUUCCAUAUGCAAAGAUUAACAGUGCUGGCUUGGGUUCCCGUGUGGACUUUCUUGCUUCUUCUCCUGUAUUUUUAUGUUACUUUGGGACAUUGUGACUGCAUUCUAAGCCCAAAAGGUCCAUCUAUGUCUGUCCAUCACCUACUUUUAGAAUGCUUAUUGGUCUUGGUUUUGAGAAUGUCUAAAUAGUCUAUACUCAUAUUACUUUCAUGUUAAUUACCUUCCAUUGCAUUCAGACCUCUGUUUCUCACUAUUUUGGAUAUAGAUUAGCUGACUUGAGCCUGCUUUAGAAACUUUCAUUUACUCCCAAUUCACUGGUCUCACAAUGGUUGAGAUGGGUCUGUCUGAUGACCUUGGCCACAGUUGAGAGUGCCUACCAGUUCCACAGGAGUCAUAAUCAAAGUGGUUUCUGACACUGAACAUGUCAUACAAUGACUCCAUUGAAGCAUUUGAAGCAUUGAGACAAUUACCUUAAGAUCAGGCCGGUGAACUAAAGGAAGAAAAUGACAGUCUUUAAAUUGUUGGGUAGUUGUGUACAGAUUAAGUAUCCACUUUUUCAUGACCCAUGGAUAGACUAAAUGGUGACUCUUAAGGCAGUGGCCACAUAAGUGUUCCUGAGACAUAAUCAAAAGUACAACUUUAUGGAGAACUUCCUUAAGAUGAGGCACUGGACUGAACUCCCCUCAAUGGGGCCAAGUGUUCCGUGGCUGAACUGUGUACGGAUGUAUGAGAGAAAAGAGCCUUCAAAGGAUCAUUAAGGCAGAUGCCUACUCAUUUCCUUUCUCCUUCUUUCCCUUCCAUAGUACUAUAUAAUUUUUUCCUGCUGAAAGAGCACAUUCACAGCCAUGACAAAGCCCUCCUUUAAAUCCAUCCAUCAAUUUGAAGUGGUUUCUACUUUACAAUUUCAAUCCAUCCUACUUCCAUCUCCUUGGAGGGAAAGUACAAUGGAAGUGCGAAGUGCUAAUAACAUAUACAUCCUCAACUCUUUCACAGGGGUAUUGUAAAGACUAAUGAGUUAUUGUUUGAAAAGACCUUUGUGGCUUUCUGAUGAAAGGUGGAACAUACAUACAGUUUUGAAUGUUUUAUUUUGUUGUCAUUGUUGGUGUUAUAAUUACAAUAGUUGUAUAGUCUGUGAGGCAUACCGCCAGCCAAGCAUCUCCUUCUCUCUCCUUCCUUGUUUAUUCUUGAAAAGUAAGCCUGCCGUGCUCAGUACAUCUUGGUUGUGUUAAUCACUUUUUACUAUGCUGACAGACACUGUGGACCAAACUCUGGAUUAUUUAGUUUGCUGAAAGGCCAGACUCAACAUUUCGGAAAACUCUCUGACCUUUAUAACAUUCCUCUUUCCCUUUCCCCAUCCCUAAAGUGUAUCUCCUCACAUGUGCUACACUUUCUAUUUUGAGUGUUUGUCUAAUCUGCUACAUUUCGCUGGGGAAAUCUGGAAAUCCCUGUUGAGUAGCAGAGGAAGGUGUAUUCUGCCCCCUUAUAAAAUGGAGGCUAAUCAUCUUUACAGAUCUAUAACAAGGUACACAUGAGCUCAAAAGCAUCACUCAAGGAUAAUUGUGCAUAGGUCUUUAUGUGCAAGCCAAUUCCUCUAGCUCCUCUUUGACCCUGGGUUCUGGGGGGCUGUUUUGCAUUUAUUGAACAGUACACCUUUUCCCUGAUGCCUGCCUCUCUCUUGUUAUGUAUGGGCUGUCUCUGUCUAAAAUCCCUUAUGCUGAUUUUCCAGACACGUUUAUUUAUGUUCACUCACUAAUUGAAAAUCUCAUAUUUGAAGUUA